rnacentral:lncRNA from 1 species
UGGUAAUGAACAGGUGUGGUAGUCUCUAAGACAUAAUGAACAGGUGAGGUAGUCUCUAAGACAUAAUGAACAGGUGUGGUAGUCUCUAAGACAUAAUGAACAGGUGAAGUAGUCUAUAAGACAUAAUGAACAGGUGUGGUAGUCUCUAAGACAUAAUGAACAGGUGUGGUAGUCUCUAAGACAUAAUGAACAGGUGUGGUAGUCUCUAAGACAUAAUGAACAGGUGAGGUAGUCUCUAAGACAUAAUGAACAGGUGUGGUAGUCUCUAAGACAUAAUGAACAGGUGAGGUAGUCUAUAAGACAUAAUGAACAGGUGUGGUAGUCUCUUAAGACAUAAUGAACAGGUGUGGUCGUAUCUAAGACAUAAUGAACAGGUGAGGUAGUCUAUAAGACAUAAUGAACAGGUGACGUAGUCUCUAAGACAUAAUGAACAGGUGUGGUAGUCUCUAAGACAUAAUGAACAGGUGUGGUAAUGAACAGGUGAGGUAGUCUCUAAGACAUAAUGAACAGGUGUGGUAGUCUCUAAGAC